GGCUGCCUGGCGAAAUGGUAUCGCGUCACUUUCCGGUUGGGUUUAUCCCUCUAGAACAUGGUGAAGAUUGCGGGUUCGAGUCCCGUGGUGGUCG